rnacentral:rRNA from 1 species
AUGACUUGUGGCUGGGGGUGAAAGGCCAAUCAAACCGGGAGAUAGCUGGUUCUCCCCGAAAGCUAUUUAGGUAGCGCCUCGUGAAUUCAUCUCCGGGGGUAGAGCACUGUUUCGGCAAGGGGGUCAUCCCGACUUACCAACCCGAUGCAAACUGCGAAUACCGGAGAAUGUUAUCACGGGAGACACACGGCGGGUGCUAACGUCCGUCGUGAAGAGGGAAACAACCCAGACCGCCAGCUAAGGUCCCAAAGUCAUGGUUAAGUGGGAAACGAUGUGGGAAGGCCCAGACAGCCAGGAUGUUGGCUUAGAAGCAGCCAUCAUUUAAAGAAAGCGUAAUAGCUCACUGGUCGAGUCGGCCUGCGCGGAAGAUGUAACGGGGCUAAACCAUG